GUCCGGUAAGGGCCAAUUUUGGCCUCAAAUUUCAGGUUCAUCUAACGAAAGAUUUUGGACUCUUUUUAAACACUUAAGUGUCUAUUUCAAUUGAUUCAAUUAGUUUUUGUGGCAGAUUUUAACUGGUUUAGUCAUUAAGAACGCUCCGAUUCAAACUUUAAUAAGAAAAAUCUAUCAAAUAUGCAAAAAAACGUCACUUUUCAG
rnacentral:lncRNA from 1 species